UACGGAGGGUGCAAGCGUUAAUCGAAAUUACUGGGCGUAAAGGGUGUGUAGGCGGAUUGGAAAGUCAGAGGUGAAAUCCCAGAGCUCAACUUUGGAACUGCCUUUGAAACUCCCAGUCUUGAGGUCGAGAGAGGUGAGUGGAAUUCCGAGUGUAGAGGUGAAAUUCGUAGAUAUUCGGAGGAACACCAGUGGCGAAGGCGGCUCACUGGCUCGAUACUGACGCUGAGGUGCGAAAGCGUGGGGAGCAAACAGG
rnacentral:rRNA from 1 species